UCGAGACUCAACAACAGAAUAUAUUUAAAGAAAUAAUUGUACAACGUUUUUAACUGAUUGCAAGCGUAAUAUUACUACACACAUGUAGUAAUACUAGUAGUAAUAAUAGUAGUAAUACAUACUACACUCUUCACUCUUCACUUUUCACUUUUCUUGUCAAUACUUGUCUCAGACUCCUUGGCUGUCAUCAAGGAUGUUUCACUUUGAUGUCGACUUGCAAUACUGCCGUUUUGUUUCUUUAUAUUAAAUUCUUCUUGGUUUAACGCUAUGCAAACAUCCACAAAAUGAGAGAUACGAGAAGAACGAAGUUCAGGCAUCAUUUUCUUGACCCUCAUCAGAGCUUCCUUGGUGCGCUCAACCUUGUGGAGUGCGGCAUUGGACUUAAUUAUGAGAAGAGUGCACAGGAAACGAUAUAUCAAGCUAUUGCAGUUUUUAGUUUCUGAAAAGAAAUUAAUUGUAACAUAAUUAUAGUAUAGUAUAAAUAAUAGUUUAGGCUCACCAGUUAAGCCCUUUCGAGCUGCAAAGCAGCAUUCAUCAAAGCGAUUUGAUUUGAGAUGAGUGUAACCAAUUUGAUGCAACAAAUAGCACUUCUCGAUCGAGUAUUUGGCAAACAGCAUUCGUUUGUCCAAUCGAGUUAUCAUUUGUCUGAGAAUAUAAUUUAUAGAAACUCUUUAGAAACUUUUAGAAGCUCUCACCUGGACUUUGAGAGAGACGGAUCUAAUAUUUCCGCGUCCUGAUAAGUGGAACGGUCUCCAAAUACGAAAUUUUGAACAUCCCACGGUUUGUCGGUGGGAAGACGAAGUAGCUUCAGAAGAGCAUUCUUGUCAUCGUAUCGAUUCUUGUCGUGAGGAACUCUGCACUGCUCGGCAAAAGCCAGCGCCAAUGUGUUGUACACUUCAUUCAUAAACUCAAAUUUCCAUGGCAUAAUUCGAUAAGUUUUUAGCACCACGUAAUUUCCCAUGACUUCCUCGACGUACUGCGAAAGUUUCUAACAAUAAAAGUUCUUUAAAGUCUUCUAUGUUCAAAUAAUCACAAAUAAAAACUCACAGCUAUGUUGCCGGCGUCACGAAGUUUUCGAAUGCUUCUCAACACCGAAAGCAUAUUGCGACUGGUUUGGUACUGCUUACGGUAAAGAUAGUCCUCCCGAAACUUGUCCAUCAGUUUCUUGUUGGUGAAUUUGUUGUAUCGAAGGUAGUACAUGGGCGCACGCGCAUGAAGCAUUUUCUGUAAUGUAUUUAUGUCCAAUUUAUAGAUAGAGUAUGAACAUCGUAG
rnacentral:lncRNA from 1 species